rnacentral:misc_RNA from 1 species
UAGUGGGCCUACUUUGGAUCUUGCGGCUCGUCUACCACGAUUAAGAGCAGUCAUACUGCACAGUCCCCUUCUAUCAGGUUUACGAGUCAUGUAUCCUGUCAAGCGCACUUACUGGUUUGACAUUUACAAGAAUAUUGACAAGAUCCCUUCGGUGAAUUGUCCCGUGCUCAUCAUUCAUGGAACUGCAGAUGAAGUAGUUGAUUUUUCACACGGCAAGCAGCUCUGGGAAUUAUGCAAGGAGAAGUAUGAGCCUUUAUGGAUCAAGGGAGGGAACCAUUGCGACUUGGAGCUCUAUCCAGAAUACAUCAGACACCUGAAGAAGUUUGUAGCAACGAUUGAAAGGUCCCAAUCACAACGGAUCACUUGUAGGAAAAGCACAGAUCAGUUUGAGCCACCAAGAAAGAGUACAGAUGUUUUUGAAGCUUCAAGGAAAAGCACUGACCGUAGAGAAAAACCGAGACACAGCACAGACAGGCCUGAGAAGUUAAAGAAUCAUUCCAGUAAUGCUAUUACAGACAAACUAGAAAAACUAAGGAUCUCUUUUGAACAAAUGGAGAGAUCUCGAAGAAGUGUGGACUGCACUGAAAAAUCAAGGAAAAGCAUUGAUCACCAAUUAGAAAGAGCCCGGAAGAGUGUUGAUAGAAUGGACAGAAUACGAACUGGUUGAUAGUUACAAACCAAAUGGUAAAAUCAUUCAAAGUUUGAUGGUGUGGGUAAAGAGUGAAAUGAGCUGGUUACUAUUUAUGAUUUUCAA